UACAGAGGUCUCAAGCGUUUGUUCGGAUUCAUUGGGCGUAAAGGGUGCGUAGGCGGCGCGGUAAGUCGGGUGUGAAAUCUCGGAGCUUAACUCCGAAACUGCAUUCGAUACUGCCGUGCUUGAGGACUGGAGAGGAGACUGGAAUUUACGGUGUAGCGGUGAAAUGCGUAGAUAUCGUAAGGAAGACCAGUGGCGUAAGGCGGGAUCUCUGGACAGUUCCU
rnacentral:rRNA from 1 species